GACGAACGCUGGCGGCGUGCUUAACACAUGCAAGUCGAACGGAAAGGCCAUGCUUUUGUGGGGUGCUCGAGUGGCGAACGGGUGAGUAACACGUGAGUAACCUGCCCUUGACUUUGGGAUAACUUCAGGAAACUGGGGCUAAUACCGGAUAGGAGCUCCUGCUGCAUGGUGGGGGUUGGAAAGUUUCGGCGGUUGGGGAUGGACUCGCGGCUUAUCAGCUUGUUGGUGGGGUAGUGGCUUACCAAGGCUUUGACGGGUAGCCGGCCUGAGAGGGUGACCGGCCACAUUGGGACUGAGAUACGGCCCAGACUACUACGGGAGGCAGCAGUGGGGAAUAUUGCACAAUGGGCGGAAGCCUGAUGCAGCAACGCCGCGUGCGGGAUGACGGCCUUCGGGUUGUAAACCGCUUUCGCCUGUGACGAAGCGUGAGUGACGGUAAUGGGUAAAGAAGCACCGGCUAACUACGU
rnacentral:rRNA from 1 species